UACGUAGGGGGCAAGCGUUGUCCGGAUUUAUUGGGCGUAAAGAGCGUGUAGGCGGCCAGACAGGUCCGUUGUGAAAACUCGAGGCUCAACCUCGAGAUGUCGAUGGAAACCGUCUGGCUAGAGUCCGGAAGAGGAGUGUGGAAUUCCUGGUGUAGCGGUGAAAUGCGCAGAUAUCAGGAAGAACACCUAUGGCGAAGGCAGCACUCUGGGACGGUACUGACGCUGAGACGCGAAAGCGUGGGGGAGCGAACAGG
rnacentral:rRNA from 1 species